UGAGAAAAUUGACGGAGACAAGUGUCAUCAAAUUUCCUACCAUAACACCAGUGACCUAGGGAAAGCCACCCUCUUGCUUUCUUCUCAUUUGUAUAUGUAUACCGGGUACUUUCUUGUUACUUCAGUUGAUCUCAGGUUUCAGGAAAAGUGAUAUUUCCUCUGAUGAAGGUGGGGCAUUUGAGCACCAGUAUGCAUCUCUGUGACUGUGGACCUAUGUGAGCAGCUUCCUCACACUCUGGAGACACUCCUGCCGUCAUGUUUCCCUUACCCUGACAGACUGUUCCCUUACACCACUGGCUAAAAUAAAUCCUUCCUUAAGUUGCCUUUGUUAGGUAAUUUGCUGUGAGAAACUUAAUACCGUGUGCUGACACCAGACUAAGAGGGCAGGGGUGAGGAAAAGCCAGCUUUCUGCCUGUUGUUGUCCACAAGACAAGAGACGGAAACUGAG
rnacentral:lncRNA from 1 species